GAGCCAGUGUUCUGUAACGGUUAGCAUGUUGGACUGCGGCUUCAGAGAACCAGGUUCAAAACCUUGAUGAGUCA